rnacentral:rRNA from 1 species
GACGAACGCUGGCGGCGUGCUUAACACAUGCAAGUCGAACGAUGAAGCCGGAGCUUGCUCUGGUGAAUUAGUGGCGAACGGGUGAGUAACACGUGAGUAACCUGCCCUUGACUCCGGGAUAACUGCUAGAAAUGGUAGCUAAUACCGGAUACGACCCUCGGAGGCAUCUCCAGGGGGUGGAAAGAAUUUCGGUCAAGGAUGGACUCGCGGCCGAUCAGCUAGUUGGUGAGGUAACGGCUCACCAAGGCGACGACGGGUGGCCGGCCUGAGAGGGUGACCGGCCACACUGGGACUGAGCCACGGCCCAGACUCCUACGGGAGGCAGCAGUGGGGAAUAUUGCACAAUGGGCGCAAGCCUGAUGCAGCAACGCCGCGUGAGGGAUGACGGCCUUCGGGUUGUAAACCUCUUUUAGUAGGGAAGAAGCGAAAGUGACGGUACCUGCAGAAAAAGCACCGGCUAACUACGUGCCAGCAGCCGCAGUAA